GAAGAAUGCAAGUUAUUCUUUCACACUAGAUUUUAAAAUGUCUUGUAUAAAUACAGAUUUUGACUUUUUAAAAUUAAGGGCAGGGCGCUGGGCAGACCACUGAUCAUGAUACCAUUUACCCAGAGGACUUGACUAAGUGGUUGGGAUGUGGCCUUGCAUUUGUCAGCAGACCCUUCUAGGAAUGUUCCGGAC
rnacentral:lncRNA from 1 species